GGAGCCUGCGGCGUAAUUUAAUUCCACAUGGGGAAACUCACCAAGCCCAGACACAAUGAGGAUUGAUAGAUUGAGAGCUCUUUCUUGAUGUUAUGAGUGGUAGUGCAUGGCUGUUCUUACUGGUGGGGUGAUUUGGCUAAUGUAUUGCAAUGACAAACUAGACCUAUUAAAUAGCCCGUAUUAUUUUGGCAAUACGCCGGCUUCUUCAAUGGACUAUCGGCUCAAGCUGGCGGAAGUGAGGCAAUAACAGGUCCAUGUUCUGGGCUGCAGCGUAUUAC
rnacentral:ncRNA from 1 species